rnacentral:rRNA from 1 species
GACGAACGCUGGCGGCGUGCUUAGCACAUGCAAGUCGAACGCUGAAGCUCAGCUUUUGUUGGGUGGAUGAGUGGCGAACGGGUGAGUAACACGUGAGUAACCUGCCUCCUUCUUUGGGAUAACGCCCGGAAACGGGUGCUAAUACUGGAUAUUCACUGGUCUUCGCAUGGGGGUUGGUGGAAAGGGUUUUUCUGGUGGGGGAUGGGCUCGCGGCCUAUCAGCUUGUUGGUGGGGUGAUGGCCUACCAAGGCUUUGACGGGUAGCCGGCCUGAGAGGGUGACCGGUAACAUUGGGACUGAGAUACGGCCCAGACUCCUACGGGAGGCAGCAGUGGGGAAUAUUGCACAAUGGGCGAAAGCCUGAUGCAGCGACGCCGCGUGAGGGAUGGAGGCCUUCGGGUUGUGAACCUCUUUCGCUCAUGGUCAAGCCGCAACAAUGGUUGUGGUGAGGGUAGUGGGUAAAGAAGCGCCGGCUAACUACGUG